ensembl:snRNA U6 U6 spliceosomal RNA
GUGCUCGCUUUGGCAGUGCAUAUACCUGCAUUGGAACAAUACAGAGAAGAUCAGCAUAGCCCCUGUGCAAGUAUGAUAUGCAAGUUCACGAAGCAUUCCAUGAAAAA